rnacentral:rRNA from 1 species
GCUGGUUGCCCGCGAAACGAAUGUAAGUUCCCCCUUAAUUUUACCCCUCAGACUCUACCACUUACUCGUAGCAAAUUAAGAGCAAUUUAAAGGAGGUACAGCUCCUUUAAAACAGAACACAACCUCCCCCAGAGGAUAAGCUAAACAACCUUAAAAUUGUAGGCCUUCAAGCAGCCACCAACAGAGAGUGCGUCAAAGCUCACUACCCUAAAAAUACCAAACCCUAUGCGACUCCCUCAUUCAUAGCGAGCUAACCUAUCAAAAAUAGGAGAAUUAAUGCUAAAAUAAGUAACUAAGGACCUGUCCUCUAAAGCACAAACUUACAUCCCACAUUAUUAACAGGCCUAUUAAUAACUCAACUACUACAAGACUAACUAUUUAAUACCCUGUUAAGCCAACCCAGGGGUGCUUAGCUAGAAAGAUUUAAACCUGUAAAAGGAAUUAGGCAAACCCAAGGCCCGACUGUUUACCAAAAACAUAGCCUUCAGCAAAACCAAGUAUUGAAGGUGACGCCUGCCCAGUGACACCAAGUUUAACGGCCGCGGUAUCCUAACCGUGCAAAGGUAGCGCAAUCAAUUGUCCCAUAAAUCGAGACUUGUAUGAAUGGCUAAACGAGGUCUUAACUGUCUCUUGCAGGUAAUCAGUGAAAUUGAUCUCCCCGUGCAAAAGCAGGGAUAAACCCAUAA